rnacentral:lncRNA from 13 species
AUGUGGCUGCUGCUCAGAACAUUUAAAAAGAUUCCAGGAGAAGGGAGUGAAGAAGGAGCUCCCUGCCGCAGGCUCGAAGACUGUCAACCACCUGCAGAGGUCGCCACCCUGACUACCAGCCUCUGGCUGGCCCACCUGAUGGACACCAAAACUCUCCACUCCCUCUUCUAUUACUCCAGGAUCCUAGAUAGUGCCACAGGAUGUGUGCACUAAGAAGGUAGCUGGGUUUAUUUUAGUUCAUUGCAAUUUGAUUGCACUUUUGUUAUGCACUGUGCUAGCCACCUUCUCAAAAGAAGUGUACAAAGUGGCAUUUAGUCAUUGGGUUAGUUAUGGGUAGAAAGCUGUUUUACCAACAGAGGAAUGUAUAAAGUGCAAUUGCAAGAUGGAUGGAAGAGCAAUUAAUUCUACUGGGAGUUGUACACCAAGGUUUAGCAAGGAGGUAACAUUUCUAUUGGGACUUUAAGGAUGAGUAGGUUUGCCAACAAUACAGGGAGGGUGGUAUUUAAGAGUAAAAGAACAUGAAGUAACUCUCACUGGAAACAUUCCAGACUAUCCAUAAGUCCAGGAGCUCGAGUAUUAUCUCUAUAUACUUGACCCUAAUGAAAGAGAGCUCUAACUAUAGGCUUGAAUGCCAUGCUAUGGAAUAGUAUGGAUUUGAUAUUUAGAGGAAAAUCGGAGGUCUGUAAGCAGAUGAAAAAUGGAAUUGAUUCUGGUUUUGGAAAUACCUCUCUAGUGGAAGUGUAGAGGGCAAUUGUAGAAAAUACAGAGAUGAAAGCAGGGAACCUAGUUAUGGGAUGAUUGCAAUAAUGCAGGUGAGUGAUGAUGUGGACCUAGCCUAGGGUCAUAUCGCCAGUCUGAAGCUCUCUCCCGAAUUCCAGCCCCUUGUAUCUAACUGUCUACUUGAUGUCUCCACUCACAUAUCUAAUAGACAUCUCAAAUUCAGCAUGAUCAAAGCAUAUCUUCUGAUCUUGCCUACCCCAAACCUGCUCCCCACUUCCUUCCUCAUCUCAGUUGAUGGCACCUCCACCCUUUCAGUUGUUUGGGAUGCCAUCUUGGAGUUUCCCUUGAUUUUUCUCUUUUGUACACCCAUUUAGCCAAUCACUGACUCUACCCUUCUCACCAUCUCCCUCCCUCACUCCCCUCUUUGCCUGCUAGGCUGACUCUUUCACAAACUCCUUCGCAAACUCCAGCCUUCCUUUGGGCCUUUGCUCCA